CUCCUGGCGCCACAAGGGGAAAGCUGGCAUAAAAGGUCACGUGGUGCUGUGCCGCCUUGCCUGUGUCUUCUUAGCGCCAGCUCGGGCGGGUCCCAGGCGGUGCCCCGGGGCCAGCCCUCGUAGUGCUAAGGGCUGCUGACGCUGCCCCAUCGACUAGCUGGGACCCCCAGGACUCCUGGGUUCAAUCACCAGCGCUGCCCCGAUUGGCUGGGACCUUGGACAGGUCUCUUAGUGUUGCGAUGCCGCAGUUUGCAGAAGUGGGGUGUCGGCGCGGUCCCAUGUCUGCCAGCGUGCCCGUGGCCGCGGUGGGAGGCAGGGUCAGCCCUUGCUGCGCUGGUGGGGACUUGCCAGGGCCUUGUCUGAAUUCAUCCCGCUGGCUCUGUCUGCAGCGCUCAGCACUUCUGAUCACAAAAUGCCCCUCCCGCCUCCAGCAAGCUACAGGAGGGAACGAUGUGUAAAAGUUCUCUUGAUGCCAAAUGGAGAUCUGCACCAGGAUGAAAGAUAGCUGGCAAAUGCUGAAGCCAAGCAAGACUAAAGCUGUGCAAGUAGGUAGAAGGAAACACUUUAAAAGAACUUGCCUCCUCUGCCGUGCCCCCAACAACUUCAGGAGAAACUCUUCGACCUCAUCCCCACGAACCACCCCACGGACAUUCUACAUACUUCCCAAGGUACACAAACAAGGGAAUCCAGGCAGACCCAAUGUAUUUGGCCACAGCACUCUUAUUGAAGACUGUCAGGACUUGUAGACACUAUCCUCAAACUAGUCACCAUACAAAGCACCAGUUUCUUCCAGGACACAACUGACUACCUCUAGAAACUCCACAACAUUAACAGUCUCCCUCAGAACACCAUCCUUGCCACCAUGGAUGUCACCUCCCUAUGCACCAUCUCUUAUAAUGACAGAAUAAGUGCCUGCCUUAAAUAGCUAAAAGACAAUGGACAAUAUUCAGAUAUCCAUCCCAAACACAUCGCCAAACUCAUCCAUUUCAUCCUCACCCAUAAGAAUUUUAUGUUCAACAACAAACACUUUGUCCAAUCCGUGGGAACAGCUGGCUGUAGUAGGAUAGCUCCCCAAUAUUCCAGCCUCUUCAUAGGACACCUUGAAGAAGAAUUUCUGGACAAGUGUACCAUGAAACCAAAGAUAUAAAUGUGCUACAUCAAUAAUAUUUUCAUCCUCUGGACAGAUGACCUAAACUCCCUCAGAUUUCCACCACAACUUCAACAACCACAACCCAUCCAUCAAACUCUCCCUCUCCCACACUAGCAUCAACUUCCUGGACAUCAUGAUCAGCUUCAACAAUGGAAUCCUACUGACAUCAAAACCAAGAAACCAAUGGAUUUCCAUGCUCAUCUUCACAGAUUUAGGAACUACCCAGACACACCAACUGUGCAACUUGCCACCAUUCAGUGCACUCUUUGUUGUGAAGUUUUGGCAUUGCAUAGUGGGGCAGAAACAGCUCACACAGGGGUGACUGGGAGCAAGGGGUCAACUUCUUGUAAUGCAAUGAUAUCCUAUCCCAUAAUAUCUCUAUAAUUUUGGUGUCUCUUUUCAAUUUCCCAUAAACCCACACAGGACUUGUUGGUGUCUGCAAUCUGUGAUAGAAACAUGGAGCCUGCACAGCUCUGCACUAUUGUCAUGAACAUUGUAAGCACAGGACACAUGAUCCUCUGGUAUUGGCAGAGCCGCAGGGAACAUGACAAUUUCCUGCUGGUCAAUUUGCUAUGGGAUGUAGUGAGAACUAAUUCAAGGUUGUUGUUGCUGUUCAUGGAGCAGGAUGGAGUGCUGCUUCUGGCUGAGAUACAAGCACUGCCUGGUGAAAUUGUAUUGUAAUGCAGGUUUGGAUGUGCAAGGCCACAUUCCUGGAUCUGUCUGCCGUGCUUGCCCCAGCCAUCCAACGCAGGUAUACCAAACUGAGAGCUGCACUGACAGCGGAGAAGCAAGUGGCAAUCACACUGGAAACUUGCAAUGCCGGAUUGGUACAGCUCAGUGGGAGGUCAUUCUGGAGUGGGACAAUCCACUCUGGGCUCUGCUGUCAUGCAAGUGUGCAGGGCUCUUAAUUGUCUCCUGCUAUGCAGGACUAUGACUCUCUGCAAUGUGCAGGACAUAGUGGAUGACUUUGCAGCUAUGGGUUCUCAAACUGCAGUGGGGCAAUAGAAAGCAUGCACAUCCCUAUUUUGGCCCCAGAGCAUAUCAACAGAAAAGGGUACUUUUUCAUGAUUGUACAAGAGCUGAUGGACCACCACCACUGAUAUCAGUGGGGGCUGGUCAGGGAAGAUGCAUGAUGCCCUCAUUUUUAAGAACACAGGACUCUUCAGAAAGCUACAAGCAAGGAACUUCUUUCCCAACCAGCGGAUCAUCACUGGUAAUGUUGAAAUACCAAUAAUGAUCCUGGGGGGAUCCAGCCUACUCUUUACUCCCCUGGCUCAUGAAGCCGUACGCCAGCCACCUUGACAGCAGCAAGGAAAGAUUCAACUAUAGGCUCAGGUGCAGAAUGACAGUUGAAUAUGCUUUUUGGUUGACUGAAAGGUUGCUGGCAUUGUUUACUCACCAGAUGGGGUCUCAGUGCAAAAAAUAUCCCAAGGAGAAAACUUGCUGAAGAGUUGGAGGUGGGACGGCUGUGUGCUGAGUUUGAACAGCCAGACACAAGGGCUAUCAGAUUAGCUCAGUGAGGAGUGAUAUGGCUUAGGGAUGCUUUGAAAGAGCACUAUAAUAGCAAGCCACAAUAACCAGGUGCUCAGCCUGGUGCCGCAGUUUGAGGAUCUGUUAGGAAUCUUGUGGUGCUUUCUGCAUAUCUAUACAUGUAUCACUGGCAGUGCUCCUAUUACAUUGGGGUGCUUCCUGUACAUUUUAUGAUGACUACACUGUUUGGCACUGAUCUUAUGGGUUGUGAGUGUACAAGGCCACUGCGUUCACUGCCAGCAGGCAUUAUACACCAUGUGUUGUCAUCUAAUAAAGGUGAACAACUUUUUAAAACAAAA